rnacentral:lncRNA from 1 species
UUUUUUAAAUUUGAUUUUAGUAGUAUUAUUGUUAAUUGUUUGAUUAAUGUUUUCUUCAUUGUGGUGGAUUUUAGUUGUAGAAGUCGUUGUGGAGCGUGGUAUUCGUUAGAGGGAAUCACAUCAGUCUGCCAUAGGUGUUCAUCGCAAUCUUCUACGGCCGAUCAAGGGGCUGCCCCUGUGCCCAGUGAAGCCGUGUGAGGCCUACGACUAUAUGAUGGUUGCUCUGUUCGAGAACUGCAGCAUGAGCUGCGAGGUAUUCGACGAACAGCGCAAGAGGUGCGUCGACUGCAACGAGAAUGGCUUGGCCCGUUGCUCACUCUCCUGAGAUAUGAUAAUUAUUAUUGUUAUCAUCGGCAUUGUUGUGGUGGGACGAUUGUGGUGACUGGCAGCGGUUCGUAGCAUGGUAUAGUAUUACUCUACAUCUUGUCUGAGUAACUUUAGAUAUUAUUUUGGUAAUGAUGGAGAUUCUGAUGAAGGCCUGAUUUAUUGAGGCUUUUCUUUGAUUUAUUGUCAUUACUUUGUUUUCAGUUGGUAGAACUAUGUUAGUAACGAUUCGUGGUUAUUAAAUUUUCACAGAUUGUUGUCUCGAUUUGGUUAAGCAGAAAAUAUUGAUUAAAAGGGGUUACUUGAUCAAUAUGUUGUUUUUCUUGACCAUGGGAUGUUGACAAGGCAACCAUACUUCAGCUACAACGUCGUUUCCGCCAGAACUACAGUGUAUUUCAUUGACAAUUAUUUGUUUGUGAUUUUAUUGCCAUAUUUUAUAUUGUGGACUCUGGAUACUUUUUGUAUUUGGUGCUUUUGUUAUUGAAUUUCCUGUCAAUUUCCAAUUUUCAUUUCUGCAGGACUAAUCUGUUGGCUCCAAAUUCGUCGAAAUGAUGACUCAGAAGCCAAAGCAUGCAUCACCACUCAGCUUGUUGUUGCCCCCUCUAUUCCAGCCCCUGCAAUCAUGACCUUUAAGUUCUUACAUGAAAGCUCAAUGGCCAAUGUUUGUAUUUUCAUGCAGUUUUUCUUUCUCCGUCAAAACACUCGGCUCAUCAAUUGAAGUGAUAUCUCAUAUCUAGAUUUUUUGUCCAAUAUGUGGAACUUGUAUGAUUUUAAGGAAUGUAUUUUCAUGCAGUGGAACUGAAUGUUUUUGUUUUGAUUCGGGAUCUCUGAAAAUGGUCAAAUACUUGUAUGAGUUUAAGGAAUGUUUUUGUUUUGAUUAGGAUCGCUUUUUUCGUUAAGGGAUGUUUUUGUUUUGAUUUUGAGUCUCAUUUUCUAGUAAAGGUUAGAUCUUUUUGCGUGGAGCUGUAGAUGGAUGUUGUAUAUUGUAAGGUGGGC